rnacentral:misc_RNA from 1 species
GAUGAAGAACGUAGCGAAAUGCGAUACGUUAUGUGAAUUGCAGAAUUCCGUGAAUCAUCGAAUCUUUGAACGCACAUUGCGCCCGCCAGCAUUCUGGCGGGCAUGCCUGUUCGAGCGUCAUUUCAACCCUCGACGUCCCCUGGGACGUCGGCCUUGGGGACCGGCAGCACCCCGCCGGCCCUGAAAUGGAGUGGCGGCCCGUCCGCGGCGACCUCUGCGCAGUACAACCACUCGCACCGGGAACCCGACGCGGCCCGCCGUGAAACCCCCAACCUCUGAACGUUGACCUCGGAUCAGGUAGGACUACCCGCUGAACUUAAGCAUAUCAAUAAGCGGAGGA